GAAAUGCGAUAAGUAAUGUGAAUUGCAGAAUUCAGUGAAUCAUCGAAUCUUUGAACGCACCUUGCGCCCUUUGGUAUUCCGAGGGGCAUGCCUGUUUGAGUGUCAUUAAAUACCAUCAACCCUCUUUUGACUUCGGUCUCGAGAGUGGCUUGGAAGUGGAGGUCUGCUGGAGCCUAACGGAGCCAGCUCCUCUUAAAUGUAUUAGCGGAUUUCCCUUGCGGGAUCGCGUCUCCGAUGUGAUAAUUUCUACGUCGUUGACCAUCUCGGGGCUGACCUUGGUCAGUUUCAAUAGGAGUCUGCUUCUAACCGUCUCUUGAUUGAGACUAGCGACUUGCGCGCUAACUUUUGACUUGACCUCAAAUCAGGUAGGACUACCCGCUGAACUUAA
rnacentral:rRNA from 1 species